rnacentral:rRNA from 1 species
UGGCUCAGGACGAACGCUGGCGGCGUGCCUAACACAUGCAAGUCGAACGGGGAUUUGUUUCGGCAGAAUCCUAGUGGCGAACGGGUGAGUAACGCGUAGGCAACCUGCCCUCCGGCCGGGGACAACACUCCGAAAGGGGUGCUAAUACCGGAUACGAAGUCUGUGCCGCAUGGUACGGAUUUGAAAGAUGGCCUCUAUUUAUAAGCUAUCGCCGGGGGAUGGGCCUGCGUCCGAUUAGCUGGUUGGUGGGGUAACGGCCUACCAAGGCGACGAUCGGUAGCCGGUCUGAGAGGAUGAACGGCCACAUUGGGACUGAGACACGGCCCAGACUCCUACGGGAGGCAGCAGUGGGGAAUCUUCCGCAAUGGGCGCAAGCCUGACGGAGCAACGCCGCGUGAGUGAGGAAGUUCUUCGGAACGUAAAGCUCUGUUGUUCCUGACGAACCUCCCUUCUAUCAACAACGGAGGGGACUGACGGUAGGGAACGAGGAAGCCACGGCUAACUACGUGCCAGCAGCAGC